AACAUUCAACCUGUCGGUGAGUUUGGGCAGCUCAGGCAAACCAUCGACCGUUGAGUGGACC
ensembl:miRNA dno-mir-181c dno-mir-181c